UACGUAGGGGGCAAGCGUUGUCCGGAAUUACUGGGCGUAAAGGGCUCGUAGGCGGCCAACUAAGUCAGACGUGAAAUCCCUCAGCUUAACUGGGGAACUGCGUCUGAUACUGGAUGGCUUGGAUUCGGGAGAGGAAUGCGGAAUUCCAGGUGUAGCGGUGAAAUGCGUAGAUAUCUGGAGGAACACCGGUGGCGAAGGCGGCAUUCUGGACCGAUAUUGACGCUGAGGAGCGAAAGCCAGGGGAGCAAACGGG
rnacentral:rRNA from 1 species